UGAUUAGCAUAAUUAAAAAAUAAACACAAACUUUAUUUAGCUUCCCAUACUCUCGCACGGAAUCAAUCGACCUCUGACCCGGAAAAGUAUCCCACAAACAAUAACAAAGUAUGGCCAGACUCUAAAAGAGAAGAGAAAACAGCAAUAAUAUAAAUCUGACCUUUUCGUUUUGGAAGUACGACAACUACUUGUGGUCGUUUACCCGAAAGGAUGAGGAUCACAUUAAAAUGUCUACUGCGCCCUGCUAAGCUCUCUGGUGUUGCUGUGGCUAAACGUGAACCCGGGGGGAACCGGCCCUGUUGGCGAAGGAGAAAGUGGUAAUUGGCAGAUCUAUGCCCAACCUGGAGACAUGAUCUACGGCCAGCCAAACAGAUGUUCAAACAUGGAAGAAAUGGGCAGAGAGAAGAUGCAUCAAGCUGGUCUAUUUUUUCAGCUUUGUUAGGUUACCACUUUGUAUGGGUCCUUUAUUUUUUUUCAUUUUAAGUUUAUUUGACGGGGAAAAUGCACAAUAUAUA